rnacentral:rRNA from 1 species
UACGUAGGCAGCAAGCGUUGUUCGGAGUUACUGGGCGUAAAGGGUGCGUAGGCGGUUCCGUAAGUAUGGUGUGAAAUCUCCCGGCUUAACUGGGAGGGUGCGCUAUAAACUGCGGGACUAGAGUGUGGGAGAGGAAAGUGGAAUUCCUGGUGUAGCGGUGAAAUGCGUAGAUAUCCGGAAGAACACCGACGGCGAAGGCAGCGUCCUGGCCGAGCACUGACGCUCAGGCACGAAAGCGCGGGGAGCGAACAGG